GUUAGUGAUUUUAAACAAUGAAAUAUGGCGGAGAUUGUGUUACAUGAGUUGUAGAUCAGAUUUUUUGUAAAAUUGCUUCCGGGUAAGGAGGUUGAUUGUAUUUCAAAAUAAAGCUGUUUAGGGGGAAAAAUCAAUACAGUCGUUAAAAUAAACAGUUUUUAAGGUUUGUUUAAUAAAAGUCAUUAUGUUGUGAUUCGAAAAGCUUGUGGGUGGCUUUCAAAAACCCUAACUGAGGUGAAAAUGGGCAAGAAUCAGAAUAAGAAUCAGAAUCAGAACCAGAAGACGAAGUAGACCAGACAAAAAGGCAGUGUGAGUAGGUGGCCUAAGGAAGGAAGAUUGCAGGCUCUUUAGGCCCUAAUGCAGAAAUCUCUGUGCAUUAACCCAAUCUAAUGGCACUGUGAGCUCUGGAUCACAUCUAUAAGCUCUUACUAAGCCUGUAUAGUGUCAAUUUAUUAUAAUGCGAAAUUAUGUCAUUGGAUCAACGUCCACUACGUGUGUAGCCACUAGGUGGCACUAGAGGGCAAAUGCAUUGACAUUCAUUUACAACGAAUCAAGCCUUGCAGGACGUGCGAGUUGUCUCGUAUUGUAUGUAUAUAUGCAUGACUAAAGGUCAUGUUGCUCACCAGGCCUUGAGGUGUUACACAAACUUGCUAUGGAGAAGAUUAAUUACAAAUAUGUUGUGUUUUCGUCUUCCUCAUGAGAAUCAGGCCUUCUGUACGUAAAAAGUACCAUCGCUUACUUAAUCCUCAGGGUCAUAUUUUUGGUUUCUUCUGUAACCACUGCAUCUUGUUCAUCAUGAAUUUCCUGUAUCUGGGUUUUAAUUCUCAGCUCACGUUUCACAUUGACACUGUUGUAACUUUUAAUUUCCACGUUUUUGACUUUCACACACUUGUUAAAUGCAGCUUUUUAAAUGGCAUCUGAUUGCGAUGCAGUGUUCACAAUGAUCACUUCAGUUAAUCAUAUACAUGAUAGCAUUUUCUGCCAUAAUUACCAUUGUGCCUUUGCCAUUCUGAUUAUCCUAGGCCAAUGGUGACACUUGUGGAAAUUAAUGACCUUUUUUUUUUUUGCCUGUACUGUAAAUGAUGCCUGCCCUACUGUUCUAUAAGGCCUCCAUGUAUGAUCCACGUGCCUCAUUCAUACUUAUACGUCAUAUAUCCUUUGUACUACGUGUUAAAUCCUUUCUAUUAUAUUUACACUAGGUAUGCUUAAUUUCCUCAUGAGGAAUAAAGUCAUCUCAGGCAUCUACUUUUUUUCCCACAGUGCAUCACACACUGGCAUCAAUUUCAGGUGACAUAGUUCAAUGUUUUGACUGUUCAGUUUUAACUGAUCUUCCUGGUAUUGGGAGCAGGUAAGAAGAAUCCCAGCCAGUGGCAAUAUUUAGGUAUGACACCAGGCUUGUGACAUUUAUAGAGCAGGAUGAAAAACCUACCUCCUGUAUUGUCUGUUAUGGUCUAAUCUUGGCGUGCUACUGCUGUGGCUACUCCGUGCUGUCUCUGUGUUACGACACUGACCAGGUGCUGACAGGCCGGUACAUCAGAGUAAAGGGAAGGUAUGAGGCGACACCAGGGAAGUGCAUGGAAAAGGAGAUUGAUGCACAACACUGUUUGUCAUGAUCCCCAGGCAUGUGUGUUAUUGGGCAAGAGUGUAUGAUGAACUGCUGUAUAGGAAAGGGCAAUGAAACAUCUGUUUUCUAAGAAGCAUUUACAUCUUCAUGCAUAUUAAACUUAAUGUCAUUUUGUUUUAUUAUUAGCCAUUUUAUCUCAAUGUGUUACAUUUGAACUUGAAUAGUGUACAUGUAAAGAAAAAUAUAUCAGCCUAGCUAAAAUAAAAA